UACGUAGGGUGCAAGCGUUGUCCGGAAUUAUUGGGCGUAAAGAGCUCGUAGGCGGUUUGUCGCGUCUGCUGUGAAAAUCCAGGGCUUAACCCUGGACCUGCAGUGGGUACGGGCAGACUAGAGUUCGGUAGGGGAGAUCGGAAUUCCUGGUGUAGCGGUGAAAUGCGCAGAUAUCAGGAGGAACACCGGUGGCGAAGGCGGAUCUCUGGGCCGAUACUGACGCUGAGGAGCGAAAGCGUGGGGAGCGAACAGG
rnacentral:rRNA from 1 species